GACGAACGCUGGCGGCGUGCCUAAUACAUGCAAGUCGAGCGAACCGAUGGGAGCUUGCUCCCUGAGAUUAGCGGCGGACGGGUGAGUAACACGUGGGUAACCUGCCUGUAAGACUGGGAUAACUUCGGGAAACCGGAGCUAAUACCGGAUACUUUCUUUUCUCGCAUGAGGGAAGAUGGAAAGAUGGUUCUGCUAUCACUUACAGAUGGACCCGCGGCGCAUUAGCUAGUUGGUGAGGUAACGGCUCACCAAGGCAACGAUGCGUAGCCGACCUGAGAGGGUGAUCGGCCACACUCGGACUGAGACACGGCCCAGACUCCUAAGGGAGGCAGCAGUGGGGAAUCUUCCGCAAUGGACGAAAGUCUGACGAAGCAACGCCGCGUGAGCGAAGAAGGCCUUCGGGUCGUAAAGCUCUGUUGUUAAGGAAGAACAAGUGCGAGAGUAACUGCUCGUACCUUGACGGUACCUAACCAGAAAGCCACGGCUAACUACGUGCCAGCAGCCGCGGUAAUAC
rnacentral:rRNA from 1 species